CAAUAAAACUUCUCUCCAAUGACUCUUCUCUCUAUUUAUCUCCGCCUGAGCAUACUUAUCAAUCGUUUGAUUUUUUUGUAGUCUUACUUCUAACUCUGUCCAACGAGUCAUAACACACGCACACAAUAUCCCAUGGCUGCCUUUGCAACGGCAGAAGCAUGUGACAGCAACGCAGAACUAAUAUCAAAUGGAGACCUACGACAUCUAAGAUCUAUGGCCAAAGGAGAUGCUUCUCAGGACCAAUCGUGACUCUGUUGGUCUCUUCCAGAUAUUAAAUGGUGUUUUGCUAUGUAUGAGGAUUUUUGGGGGUUCAGGCUCAUGUUUUGAGGCCAAUCCCUCUUUGUACCAUGAUUUUAUUGUUACGGUUUGGAUUCGUUGGAGUUUCUUUU